rnacentral:tmRNA from 1 species
GGGGCUGAUUCUGGAUUCGACGGGAUUUGCGAAACCCAAGGUGCAUGCCGAGGGGCGGUUGGCCUCGUAAAAAGCCGCACUUCCGCUCUUAAGACGGGGAUCAAAGAGAGGUCAAACCCAAAAGAGAUCGCGUGGAUGCCCUGCCUGGGGUUGAAGCGUUAAAUCUAAUCAGGCUAGUUUGUUAGUGGCGUGUCUGUCCGCAGCUGGCAAGCGAAUGUAAAGACUGACUAAGCAUGUAGUGCCGAGGAUGUAGGAAUUUCGGACGCGGGUUCAACUCCCGCCAGCUCCACCA